UGGGGCGUCGUCAAGUGGCAAGACACAGGACUUUGGAUCCUGGAUCGGAGGUUCGAAUCCUCCCGCCCCAGCCA
rnacentral:tRNA from 1 species